AGGGUUAAUCCUCUAAUUGGUCCCUGUGGUUGUGUGGCCGUCUGAAAUUAGUCCCUCCCGUAAAAUCUAAGUCCUCGUGUUUGGAAAGUGUGUGGAAAUUAGUCUCUCCGACGAGGACCUGCUACACACACUUUUUCAAACACGAGGACUUAGAUUUUACGGGAGGGACUAAUUUCAGACGGCCACAGGGACCAAUUAGAAGAUUAACCCU
rnacentral:pre_miRNA from 1 species